rnacentral:rRNA from 1 species
AGUGAACGCUGGCGGCGUGCUUAACACAUGCAAGUCGAACGAGAACGGAAUAUAGCUUGCUAUAUUUGUCAGCUAAGUGGCGCACGGGUGAGUAAUGUAUAGAUAACCUGCCCUUAAGAAAGGAAUAACAGUUGGAAACGACUGCUAAUGCCCUAUAUGCCUUUAAUACAUAAGUAUGCAAGGGAAACGCUUUAGUGCUUAAGGAUGGGUCUGUAUGGUAUCAGCUUGUUGGUGAGGUAAUGGCUCACCAAGGCUAUGACGCCUAACUGGUUUGAGAGGAUGAUCAGUCACACUGGAACGGAGACGCGGUCCGGACUCCUACGGGAGGCAGCAGUGGGGAAUAUUGCACAAUGGACGAAAGUCUGAUGCAGCAACGCCGCGUGGAGGAUGACACAUUUCGGUGCGUAAACUCCUUUUAUAUAGGAAGAUAAUGACGGUACUAUAUGAAUAAGCACCGGCUAACUCCGUGCCAGCCGCCGCCGUAAAAC